rnacentral:rRNA from 1 species
UACGUAGGGUGCGAGCGUUGUCCGGAAUUAUUGGGCGUAAAGGGCUCGUAGGCGGUCUGUCACGUCGGGAGUGAAAACACGGGGCUUAACCCCGUGCCUGCUUCCGAUACGGGCAGACUAGAGGUAUGCAGGGGAGAACGGAAUUCCUGGUGUAGCGGUGAAAUGCGCAGAUAUCAGGAAGAACACCCGUGGCUAAGGCGGUUCUCUAGUACGGUACUGACGCUGAGACGCGAAAGCGUGGGGAGCGAACAGG